rnacentral:rRNA from 1 species
AACGACUCUCGGCAACGGAUAUCUCGGCUCUCGCAUCGAUGAAGAACGUAGCGAAAUGCGAUACUUGGUGUGAAUUGCAGAAUCCCGUGAACCAUCGAGUCUUUGAACGCAAGUUGCGCCCUAAGCCGUCAGGCCGAGGGCACGUCUGCCUGGGUGUCACGCAU